AUACCUUAUAUGUAAUCACAGCAGUCAGGCGGCGAGUGAUAAAAUCCGUCGUCAAGAGGGAAACAACCCAGACUACCAGCUAAGGUCCCUAAAUCUUACUUAAGUGGAAAACGAUGUGAAGUUACUUAAACAACCAGGAGGUUGGCUUAGAAGCAGCCAUCCUUUAAAGAAAGCGUAAUAGCUCACUGGUCUAGUGAUUUUGCGCGGAAAAUAUAACGGGGCUAAAGUAAGUACCGAAGCUGUAGACUUAGUUUACUAAGUGGUAGGAGAGCGUUCUAUUUGCGUCGAAGGUAUACCGGUAAGGAGUGCUGGAGCGAAUAGAAGUGAGCAUGCAGGCAUGAGUAGCGAUAAUUAAUGUGAGAAUCAUUAACGCCGUAAACCCAAGGUUUCCUACGCGAUGCUCGUCAUCGUAGGGUUAGUCGGGUCCUAAGUCGAGUCCGAAAGGGGUAGACGAUGGCAAAUUGGUUAAUAUUCCAAUACCAACAUUAGUGUGCGAUGGAAGGA
rnacentral:rRNA from 1 species